ACAUCAAAGAAUAUGGCAAAGAGGAACCAUGGAUCCACCAAAUUCUUUGUCAUUUUAGAUUAUCUUUACCUCUUCAUAUUCUUCUGUUUCCUUUGCUUCUUUCUUGUCAAAAUGGUUGGAAUUUGAUCCAUCCAGGUGAUAGUAAGCUUGUCUGCAGAUCAAAAGAAUGCUGAAUUCGAUAACUUCAUUUGGUUGACUCCAAUUCAAUGUUUAUUUUCUUCACCAUUUGGCUAGUGAGAUUUGGAGAGGAAUGAAGUUGUAAAUGUUCAGUGGUGAGUGAACAAUGCAAAUUACAUGUAAACGUUCUUUAUAUAUGCAAAUUCCAGUAGAUCUCCAGGUGGACUUGAUUAUCCUUUUACUGUGAUAUGGCUCUGAAAUUUUGAACCUCAAUUUAGAAC